GAGGGUAUAGCUCAGAGGUAGAGUGCAUGCCUAGCACACACAAGGUCCUGGGUUCUGGGUUCAAUCCCCAGCACCUCCA
rnacentral:tRNA from 1 species